UACGUGAAACCGUUCAGGGGUAAACCUGAGAAACCCGAAAGGUCGAAGGGGGACAUUCAACCGCGCUCGGUCGGCGGCGAGAGGCGGUCGCGCGACGGUGAUCCCUCCGGGGUGAUCCGCGCCGGCCGCCGACGUCCGUCUCCGAACACGUGCACUUGUCCCCUUGUAGGACGUCGCGACCCGUUGGGUGCCGGUCUACGGCCCUCGGUGGAGCCCGUGCGGAGCCUCGCGCUCCGUCCGGACCCGAGGUGUCCCGGCCGGCUCGCCCGACGGUAUACCGAUGGCGCGGGGCCGCGGCUCGAACGCGUCCGACCCUCCGCAAGUGCGGACGGUAACCCGGCGGUCGGACCUGGUCCGGCUCCGGGCCCGCCCGGCUGCUGGCGGAGGCGCUCUCGGACAGACUCCGUGCACGCCCGUCGGCGACGCUAUAGCUUUGGGUACUUUCAGGACCCGUCUUGAAACACGGACCAAGGAGUCUAGCAUGUGCGCGAGUCAUUGGGAUUGACUAAACCUAAAGGCGCAAUGAAAGUGAAGGCCCGCCUCGCGCGGGCCGAGGGAGGAUGGGCCGGAGCACGAUCCGGCCCCGCACUCCCGGGGCGUCUCGCUCUCAUCGCGAGGAGAGGCGCACCCAGAGCGUACACGCUGGGACCCGAAAGAUGGUGAACUAUGCCUGGUCAGGACG
rnacentral:rRNA from 1 species